UAACCGAGUUGUGCAUUCGCGUAGUAUUGUGCCGAAAGGUAUUACUAUGAGGAAAGUCCGGGCUUCGCAGGGCAGGAUAACGGAUAACGUCCGCCGAAGGCGACUUCAGGGAAAGUGCAACAGAAAUAAACCGCCUGCAUUGCAGGUAAGGAUGGAAAGGCGAGGUAAGAGCUCACCGGCGCGUCGGUAACGCCGCGCAAAUGUAAACCCUAUCCGAAGCAACACCGUAUGCGGAUGCCGCAAGGCAGGUUUGCCCGACCCAUAUCCGCGGGUGGCACAUGGUACCCAACCCAUGGAGCGUUACGGUAACGUAACGUCAAAGAUAGAUGAAUGCAGCCCCGCAAGGGGAACAGAACCCGGCUUACAGACUCGGUUGUUUU
rnacentral:RNase_P_RNA from 1 species